UACGGGGGGGGCAAGCGUUGUCCGGAAUUACUGGGCGUAAAGGGCUCGUAGGUGGCCAACUAAGUCAGACGUGAAAUCCCUCGGCUUAACCGGGGAACUGCGUCUGAUACUGGAUGGCUUGAGUUUGGGAGAGGGACGCGGAAUUCCAGGUGUAGCGGUGAAAUGCGUAGAUAUCUGGAGGAACACCGGUGGCGAAGGCGGCGUCCUGGACCAACACUGACACUGAUGAGCGAAAGCCAGGGGAGCAAACGGG
rnacentral:rRNA from 1 species